rnacentral:rRNA from 1 species
GACGAACGCUGGCGGCGUGCUUAACACAUGCAAGUCGAACGGACAGGCCCUGCUUUUGUGGGGUGCUCGAUUGGCGAACGGGUGAGUAACACGUGAGUAACCUGCCCUUGUCUUUGGGAUAACUUCAGGAAACUGGGGCUCAUACCGGAUAGGAUCUCCUGCUGCACGGUGGGGGUUGGAAAGUUUCGGCGGUUGUGGCUGGACUCGCGGCUUAUCCGCUUGUUGGUGGGGUAGUGGCUUACCAAGGCUUUGACGGGUAGCCGGCCUGAGAGGGUGACCGGCGACAUGGCGACUGAGAUACGGAGCAGACGCGUACGGGAGGCAGUAGGGGGGAGCAUUGCGCAGUGGGCGGAAGCCUGUGGCAGCAACGUCGCGUGCGGGAUGACGGCCUUCGAGUGGUAAACAGCUGUCGCCUGUGACGAAGAGUGAGUGACGGUAAUGGGUAAAAAAGCACCGGCUAACUACGUG